rnacentral:rRNA from 1 species
UGGGGAAUAUUGCACAAUGGGGGAAACCCUGAUGCAGCGACGCCGCGUGAACGAAGAAGGUAUUCGUAUCGUAAAGUUCUGUCCUAUGGGAAGAUAAUGACAGUACCAUAGAAGAAAGCUCCGGCUAAAUACGUGCCAGCAGCCGCGGUAAUACGUAUGGAGCGAGCGUUGUCCGGAAUUAUUGGGCGUAAAGGGUACGCAGGCGGUUUAAUAAGUCGAAUGUUAAAGAUCGGGGCUCAACCCCGUAAAGCAUUGGAAACUGAUAAACUUGAGUAGUGGAGAGGAAAGUGGCAUUCCUAGUGUAGUGGUGAAAUACGUAGAUAUUAGGAGGAAUACCAGUAGCGAAGGCGACUUUCUGGACACAAACUGACGCUGAGGUACGAAAGCGUGGGGAGCAAACAGG